UACGUAUAUUUUUUGUUUGUUUUCCAUAUUGUUGCGCAUAAAAUCUACAGUCUGCUAAUUAAUAUACUUUCCCUGAUUUCUCGAUACAUUAAACGCGAAUAUUAAGCAAGAUAUUAAGAUUGAAAGCGCAACGAAACAUCUAAACCCCUCCUACAAUAAUUUCGUUUGGCAAGAGUUGGCCAAUGUUUUCCGACGAAAAAGAAAAGCGCCAGCAAAAGUUAACAUCAUCGUUAAUGAAGAUUCUUCAAUCCCUUCGUAGCAGAGCGCUGGGAUAGAUAAAAAGAGAGCAAGAUAAAAGGGAAUUAUCCUCGAGAGAAUGGACCGGCAGAAAAAUCGAGUUCAAUAACGGAAUAAGAAUUCGCAAUAACGCUAAGACUACAGUAAUUAAUUGCCCUCCCCGGUCGAUUGAGCCGCAUUAUUCGACCGUGGCCGAGGUAACUUUUUUACAACUGACGUCGCCCCUCGAGGUCCAUCAUCUUCUUUUUCAAUUAAUCCCCCCAAGAUCCGCCUGGAGGAUCCGACAACCGACCAGACGGAUUGCUAGUUUUCCUAUCGGUCCCAGGAGCGACCAGUUCUCGUCAAACUCUCCAAUUCAAGGCCUUUCAUUGGCCAAAUAAAUCCCCUCUGUGCUCCAAACCCGAGGAAUAUAGUGAACCAGAUCUCCCGAGCUUGUGAUCUCCAGGCUUCAUCAAAUAUAAUGGGUGUUUAAUAUAGGAGGACUGAAACGUUGAGCUCUCGAAUAAAUAGUGGGAAUUUUUGGUGUUUAAGAAAUAAUAGCUCGCGAAGCUUACGAUAUAUUCAACAUGGACACGUUAAUUUUUAUGGAAAUGUGGUUACUUCCUUCAAACGGAUCUCAAGACCAACAGUAAAACAGCUCGUUUGCAGCUUCGCUGUUAACCGUUACCCUUUUAUUGGACCGAUGCCGCCUGAGAGGGGUAGCGGAGGCGGGGGCUGUCGCCGCGGCGAAAAUGAAAUGGGGGAACGAAAAAAAAAAUAGGAAAGAACGACGGGAAAAGGGGCUCGGGGUCCUACUACCGUCGCCAUCGGAGCGCGAGGUUUAUUGCCGUGGAAACGGGAAAAAGGGAAUGCUGACGCCGGAGACAGAGAGCUUCGAGGAUGGAGAAAAGCUGGCGCGAGAUAGCAGCGAACGCUUUUUCAUGGAAUUGAAAGACACUCUACGAAAUGUCCACGUUCAACCUGGGAGAAGAGUAAUGGCGCAAGGGCCAUUUUUGACGAAUUGUAGGGACACGGAAACAGUCGUGGUGGAAACUGUGGUUUUAGGCGCAGUUUUAUAUGCGAAUAGUGAUCCCA